rnacentral:rRNA from 1 species
AUUGAACGCUGGCGGCAGGCCUAACACAUGCAAGUCGAGCGAGCGGCGGACGGGUGAGUAAUGUCUAGGAAACUGCCUGUGGGGGGGGAAUAACGACUGGAAACGGUAGCUAAUCACGCGUACCAUCAGGUGUGCCCAGGUGGGAUUAGCUAGUAGGUGGGGUAACGGCUUACCUUGGCGACGAUCCCUAGCUGGUCUGAGAGGUUGACCAGCCACACUGGAACUGAGACACGGUCCAGACUCCUACGGGAGGCAGCAGUGGGGAAUAUUGCACAAGGGGCGCAAGCCUGAUGCAGCCAUGCCGCGUGUGUGAAGAAGGCCUUCGGGUUGGAAAGCACUUUCAGCGGGGAGGCGUUACCCGCAGAAGAAGCACCGGCUAACUCCGUGCCAGCCGCCGCGGUAAUAC